rnacentral:rRNA from 1 species
CCCCAGACUCCUACGGGAGGCAGCAGUGGGGAAUAUUGCACAAUGGGGGAAACCCUGAUGCAGCGACGCCGCGUGAGCGAUGAAGUAUUUCGGUAUGUAAAGCUCUAUCAGCAGGGAAGAAAAUGACGGUACCUGACUAAGAAGCCCCGGCUAACUACGUGCCAGCAGCCGCGGUAAUACGUAGGGGGCAAGCGUUAUCCGGAUUUACUGGGUGUAAAGGGAGCGUAGACGGCAAUGCAAGCCAGAUGUGAAAGCCCGGGGCUCAACCCCGGGACUGCAUUUGGAACUGUGUAGCUGGAGUGUCGGAGAGGCAGGCGGAAUUCCUAGUGUAGCGGUGAAAUGCGUAGAUAUUAGGAGGAACACCAGUGGCGAAGGCGGCCUGCUGGACGAUGACUGACGUUGAGGCUCGAAAGCGUGGGGAGCAAACAGGAUUAGAUACCCCUGUAGU